rnacentral:rRNA from 1 species
AUGAAGACAUUUCUCAUCAUUUCCCUCCUUGCUAUCGUGGCGACCACCGCCACAACUGCAGUUAGAGUUCCAGUGCCACAAUUGCAGCCACAAAAUCCAUCUCUGCAACAACCACAAGAGCAAGUUCCAUUGGUGCAACAACAACAAUUUCCAGGGCAGCAACAAACAUUUCCACCACAACAGCCAUAUCCGCAGCCGCAACCAUUUCCAGCGCAACAACCAUAUCCGCAGCCGCAACUAUUUCCACAGCCGCAACCUUUUCCGCCACAACUUCCAUAUCCGAAGCCGCAACCAUUUCCCCCACAACAACCAUAUCCACAACCGCAAACACAGCAUCUGCAACCACAACAACCAAUUUCGCAGCAACAAGCACAACAACAACAACAACAACAACAACAAAUCCUUCAACAAAUCCUUCAACAAAUUCUGCAACAACAACAACUGAUUCCAUGCAGGGAUGUCAUCGUCUUGCAACUACACAACAUAGCGCAUGAAAGCUCACAAGUAUUGCAGCAAAGUAGUUACCAAGUGUUGCAACAAUUAUGUUGUCAGCAGUUGUGGCAGAUCCCCGAGCUGUCGCGGUGCCAAGCCAUCCACAAUGUCGUUCAUGCUAUUAUUCUGCAUCAACAACAACAACAACAACAACAAGAACAACAUCAACCGUCGAGCCAGGUCUCCUACCAGCAGCCUCAGUAACAAUAUCCAUCAGGCCAGGGCUCCUUCCAGCCAUCUCAGCAAAAUCCACAGGCCCAGGGCUUUGUCCAACCUCAACGUCUGCCCCAGCUCAAGGAAAUAAGGAACCUAGCGCUGCAGACGCUACCAGCAAUGUGCAAUGUCUACAUCCCUCCAUAUUGCUCGACCACCAUUGCGCCAUUUGGCAUCUUCGGUACUAACUGA